CCUACGGGAGGCAGCAGUGGGGAAUAUUGCACAAUGGGGGAAACCCUGAUGCAGCGACGCCGCGUGAGUGAGGAAGUAAUUCGUUAUGUAAAGCUCUAUCAGCAGGGAAGAAAAUGACGGUACCUGAGUAAGAAGCCCCGGCUAACUACGUGCCAGCAGCCGCGGUAAGACGUAGGGGGCAAGCGUUAUCCGGAUGUACUGGGUGUAAAGGGAGCGUAGGCGGCAGUGCAAGUCUGGAGUGAAAGGCGGGGGCUCAACCCCCGGACUGCGCUGGAAACUGUAGGGCUAGAGUGCAGGAGAGGUAAGUGGAAUGCCUGGUGUAGCGGUGAAAUGCAUAGAUAUUAGGAAGAACACCAGUGGCGAAGGCAGCUUACUGGACUAUAACUGACGUUGAGGCUCGAAAGCGUGGGGAGCAAAUAGGAUUAGAUACCCCUGUAGUC
rnacentral:rRNA from 1 species